GUAUUAUUUUAAUUUUAAUUUCUUGUGUACAAUUUGGAAAUUAGUAUGGCGUUCAUUAUCACUGAACUAGUAUAUAUUUGUUUAGGGGCCAGCUGAAGGACGCCUCCGGGUGCUGGAAUUUCUCGCUACAUUGAAGACCUGUUGGUGACCUUCUGCUGUUGUUUUUUUCUAUGGUCGGGUUGUUGUCUCUUUGGUACAUUCCCCAUUUCUAUUCUCAAUUUAAU
rnacentral:lncRNA from 1 species